rnacentral:tRNA from 1 species
CAGGGGGUAGUUUAAUAAGAAUGUCAGUUUUGGGGGCUGAUGGUGGGACUAAUAGUGGUCUCCUUCCUGA